UCGGGAAUAUUGCGCAAUGGAGGAAACUCUGACGCAGUGACGCCGCGUAUAGGAUGAAGGUUUUCGGAUUGUAAACUAUUGUCAUUAGGGAAGAUAAAAGACAGUACCUAAGGAGGAAGCUCCGGCUAACUCCGUGCCAGCAGCCGCGGUAAUACGGAGGAUCCGAGCGUUAUCCGGAUUCAUUGGGUUUAAAGGGUGCGCAGGCGGGUCUGUAAGCCCGUGGUGAAAGCCUGGUGCUCAACGCCAGAGGUGCCGCGGGAACUGCAGGUCUUGAGUCGUGACGAGGGCGGCGGAAUGCGAAGUGUAGCGGUGAAAUGCUUAGAUAGUUCGCAGAACGCCGAUUGCGAAGGCAGCCG
rnacentral:rRNA from 1 species